UACGGAGGGGGCUAGCGUUGUUCGGAAUCAUUGGGCGUAAAGGGUGCGUAGGCGGGUCUUUAAGUCAGGGGUGAAAUCCUGGAGCUCAACUCCAGAACUGCCUUUGAUACUGAAGAUCUUGAGUUCGGGAGAGGUGAGUGGAACUGCGAGUGUAGAGGUGAAAUUCGUAGAUAUUCGCAAGAACACCAGUGGCGAAGGCGGCUCACUGGCCCGAUACUGACGCUGAGGCACGAAAGCGUGGGGAGCAAACAGG
rnacentral:rRNA from 1 species